rnacentral:lncRNA from 1 species
UUUAAAGAGAGAGUGAGAGAGAUAGAGGUAGAGAGAGAGAGAGAAUUUUUUAAUAUUUAUUUUUUAGUAUUUGGCGGACACAACAUCUUUGUUUGUAUGUGGUGCUGAGGAUCGAACCCGGGCCGCACGCAUGCCAGGCGAGCGCGCUACCGCUUGAGCCACAUCCCAGCCCCAACAUGUUUAUUAUUAAGUUUUAUUGGAGCAAGGGUGCUUGUAGGAAAGUUUCUUCAAAGCAAGUAGAGCGAAGCUCAUAAGUAAGAACAGCCCAGUUAUGGUUACCAGUUUGCACCCAUAACUUUCUGCCUGCAGAGAGCUGGCAUCUACAACUCCAGGUUAAGAACCAAAUAGCCCUGUGGCUGGCACAGAAUCUCCUAUCGAACAGGGAGGGUGUCAACAUAGCAACUGGGAUAUCUCAAUCAGAACUUUCAUACCAAGAGCUCUCCAGAGGGGCAUUGUCUCUGGCACAGGACAUUUUCAAAACCCAUGAUUCAGGGGCUGGGGAUAUUUCUUAGUUGGUAGAAUGCUUGCCUCAAAUGCACAAGGCCCUGGGUUCAAUUUCCAGUACCGCCAAAAAAAAAAAAAAAAAAAGAUUCAGUCUCUGCUCCUAACAUGAGCUCAUGGUUUUAUGGAGAAUUCACAUUUGAUCUUGCACACCUAUGUGGGAGGCCAUCCUCGCAUGUGAUUUGAAUUACCUCCCUGGCUAGGUGAGAGGCAUUUAGACACAGCUGUGUUAGAGCUUUCCCCACCCUUUUCCAGGUCCAAGGGCUUGUCCGUGCAGAGGCGUGCCUGGCCACUGCCCUGAAGAUCCAAUCGUCGCCUCUGACCUUGGGAUGUGACCCCCCCUUAACCUUCAUUGGAUGGGAUUUUCCCUUGAAUUUUUUGUUUCCCAAUAAAAGCCCACUCCCUGGCGUAUUCUUUCUCUCUAGUCUCUUCUGUAAACCUCACCACCACAUUAGGUGGCUGGAGGCGGGAGCUAGGAGAAGCCAUCCCGGAGUGGUAUUAAAGGUAAUAAGAGUCUUGUCUCUUUAAUUUAAAACUCCCUAGCAUUUACUCAUGAAUCAAACCUUCUUUCAUGAAGCCAGCGCUGGUCACAUGGCAGAAGUGGUGCCCAGAAGUGAGGUGUGAGUAAAUUGACUAGGUUGAGUUAGGGAGUGCACUAUAGAAAUACGGAAUUUGUGACAUUUUUAGGAUCGUGGAAGUACCAGGCAGUUUUUGGAGAGAAGGAAUGUUAAAAAAUUUUAAAAAUGGGAAAUUCAACUUCUACUGUUAAAGACAUGUAUUUGACUAUUUUAGAGACAAUAAUUAAUCAGAAGGAAAAGCAAGUUAAAAAGACUCAGUUGCUAUAAUUCUUAAAGGUUGUAGGUGAAUUUUGCCUUUGGUUUUGUGACCAAGAUUCACCAAAUUUACAUACAUGGGACAAAUUAGGAAGGAAAUUACAUAAAAUUUGCCUUUCUAAUAAAUUACCUGGAGGGGCUGGGGAUGUGGCUCAAGCGGUAGCGCGCUCGCCCGGGUUCGAUCCUCAGCACCACAUACAAACAAAGAUGUUUGUCCGCCGAAAACUAAAACAAUAAAUAUUUAAAAAAAAUAAAUAAAAUAAAUUACCUGGAAACUUUGAAAGUAUACAAAAGGUUUGGCCUGCAUUAGAGACCUGUCUUUUUGAUUAUAUGGGUCAUAGUCAGUGGCCCCCUGAAGAUCUAUUGAAAGGUAUUCAGAGAGCCAUUAAGUCUAUUCAAAUGGAAAAAUUGCCUGAGGCUAAGAAAACUCCUUUCAUCUAAGCCAGCUAAAAACUAAGACAAAUUAUAUUCAAACAAAAAUCCUCAGGGCAAAACCGAAAGUAAAAAACUUAGCCUUGCCUGAACUAAACCAGAGUAAUCCUGAGGAAGACCAUAGAGAGGAGGCCUCCGGGAGGAUAGAAGGUCCUUCUCCCAAAGAGGAAAAUCCGGAAGAGAUUCAUAGAAAGAAAGUCCUACUCCUCCACAUGGGGUACAAGCCCAGAUUCAACAUGGCGACAGGGGAGAAUCUACAGAGGAAUUGCAGUCUGAGGGAGAGGAAUCGGAUAAUGAAAUACAGGAUUUACCAGGGAAUUUCAACAGGCUGUGCUUAUCAGCACCUGCCCCAGCCAUUGUCUGUUAAAAGGACGAAUUUUAACAGAUACUCUGAGCUGGCAAUGACUUUUCUUACUCCAUUCCAGUGGGGAAUUAGGAAGGCACAGGAAGCUGGGGAAGAUACUAGAGAAUUUCAACUCUUCCCAGUUUUUGAACAGGUUAAUGAUCAAGACCAGCAUGUUCGUGUCCACGUGGUAAUUCCUUUUAAAACUAUUAAAGAGUUAAAAGCCUGCGAGGUCUACUGUCCAAAUUCACCAUUUGUGCAGAGCUUGCUUGAGACUAUUUGCUCUCAACCACUCCCUCCUCAACUUUCCACCACCAGGGCUUGCUUGAGUGGGGGGGAUUUUCUACUUUGGAGGUCAUACUGGACAGACUUUUGUUCCAAGCAAGCAGAAAGGAAUCAGACAAGAUCUCCAAACACCCAUGGACAUGUUUUUAUCAACAGGUGAAUUUAUUGAUUUGGAAAGGCAGCUAAAUUAUAAUAUAUUUCUGUGUACGAUCAGAUUACAACCUGUGCAAAGUGUGCCUGGAGACAGAUUGCCUCCAGGGACCAAUCUAACUUAGUUCUGACUAAAGUUAAACAAGGUGCCAAUGAGCUUUAUUCUGAUUUUGUAGCGCGACUCUAUAAACUGCAAACUGUUCCAUUGGCAAUCCAGGUGCUUGUGAGUUUAUUGUUAAGCAAUUGGCAUUUGAAAAUGCAAAUAAAUGUUGUCAGGAUGUUCUCAGACCCCAUAGAAAAAAGGGCCCAGUUUCAGAAUUUAUUCGCUUGUGUUCUGAUAUUGAUCCAGCCCAUUUACAAACAAUUACGCUCUCCGUGACUUUAAAACAAACUCUGCAGCCCCAAGAAUUAGUACACAGACCCCGCAGGAGAUGCUUUCAUUGUGGGGAGAGCGGUCAUUACUCGUAAUGCUCAUAAUUUUAAGCUCAGUGCUCCCUCUGCUGUUGGUUGCAGAUAUUACAGGGUUGAAGACCACAUGGCGGACCAAGAUGGCGCUGAUCAGCCCGCCUUCUUGCCUGGUAGGAAGACAAAAAACUUCCAGUCGGCCAUCCCCAGGCCGAAAAAACAGGGGAACCAGGAGGAAGGUCACGCAAUUUAACAUCAUCACUGCAUGGGAGCCGCCAUUUUUACUGGAGCGAAUUUCACAGACAGUUUCUUUACGACCCUCAAUGACAAUUGAAUUAAAUCCGGAAUUAGCUCCUAUAAGAGAUAACUUUCCUGAUGCAUAUAUUAUUCAAUUUAUGGAUGAUAUAUUAUUGGCUCAUGCUAAUCCAGAAGUACUUUCGGAAAUUUUUACUCAGAGGCUUCACUUACAGCAAUGGGUUUGUGCAUUGCUCCUCAAAAGAUACAAAAGAUGCCUCUCUUUCAAUAUUUAGGUCAGAUAAUUCAAGGACAUACAAUCCUUCCUCAAAAUCUACAGAUAAAAGUUAAGGAAUUACAUACCCUUAAUGAUUUUCAAAAAUUAUUAGGAGAUAUUAAUUGGCUGAGGCCAUCCUUAAAACUGACUACUUUUGAUUUAAGUCCUUUAUUUCAGAUAUAUUCAGAUUUCAGAGAUCCUUCUCCAACCUCUCCACAUGAGCUGACAAUAGCGGCUAGAACAGCUUUUUAAAAGGUUGAAAGUGCAAUUAAAAAUGCACAGCUUACUAGAAUUAAUCCUAAAGAACUAGUGAAUUUAUUAAUAUUUUUAACUGUGCAUACCCCAACAGGAGCAAUAUGGCAAAGAUUGGGAAUUAUUGAGUAGAUUCAUUUAGCCCACUCUCCCCAAAAGACAUUAAUUCCUUUUCAUGACUCUAUUGCUCAAUUAGUAAUUAAAGGUAGAAUGAGAGUUUUACAAUUAAUUGGAUCUGAACCUGAUAUUAUAAUUAUUCCAUUUUCUGUUCAUCAAAAUAAUUGGCUUUUUCAAGCUUCUAGUUUAUGGCAAAUAGCUUUUGCUGAUUUUCCUGGUCAGAUAGAAAGUCAUUACCCUCGUGAUAAAAUUAUUCAAUUUGCAUCAAUAACACCACUUAUUUUUCCAAUGAUUGUACGUGCCGAGCCCAUAGAUGGAGCCCUAUUGGUGUUCACUGAUGGUUCAAGCUCAGAUAAAGCAGGUUUUUAUAGCCAUGUUCACACAUAGGUAAUACAAACCUCACAUACUCUGCCAAAGAGCAGAGCUACAAGCUCUCAUUUGUGCCUUAAAUUACUUUACAAAUGAGCCUAUUAAUAUUUAUUCUGACAGCUUAUAUGCAGUCAGAGUUACCAAAAAUAUUGAAACUUCAGUUAUUGGAUAUACCUCAUCAUAAGAGCUAUUUAAAUUAUUUCAUAAUCUACAAAAGGAGAUGCAAAUACGAAAAUACCCAUGUUUCAUAGGACACAUAUGAGCUCACACUAAUCUUCCAGGACCUUUAACUUCAGGUAAUGACAAAAUUGAUAAAUUAGUAGCUGUUUGUCAACAGAUGUCUCCAUAUAAUUGUGCACAAGCUUCACAUUCCUUACAUCAUCAAAAUGCUUCUAGCUUAUGUAAAAAAAUUAAUAUUACCAGACAACAAGCUCGUCAAAUUGUAAAUCACUGCCCUAAGUGUGUUAUACACACUCCAUCUCUGCUAUCGGGUAAAUACCCAUGGAUUAAAACCAAAUCAAAUAUGGCAAAUGGAUGUAACUCAUAUUCCUCAAUUUGGUAAACAGUGUUAUGUACAUGUAAUAGUUGAUACACAUUCCAGAUUUAUUUUUGCCACAGCAUGUACAAAAGAAAAUACUCAACAUGUAAUUUCUCAUUGCCAAGCAGCCUUUGCUGUGUUAGGAUGCCCUUUACAGAUUAAAACAGAUAAUGCACCAGCUUAUGUAAGCUCUUCUUUUCAACAGUUUUGCCAAGAGUUUCAAAUUGACAUAAAACAGAAAUUCCUUAUAAUCCCCAAGGUCAAGCCAUUGUGGAACGAGCUCAUCUAUCUAUUAAGCUGCAGUUACAAAAAUUAAAAGAGGGGAAUAGGUUUAUGACUCCCCAAAAUAGCCUCAACCAUGCCUUGUUUGUUUUAAAUUUUUAAAAUUGUGACGCAGAAGGUCACACUGCAGCUGAGAGGCAUAUGUCUUCCGCAGCAACAGGCCCUUUAGGUAGAGUUUUGUGGAAAGACUUACAGACUGGUCAAUGGAAAGGCCCAGAUGCAGUGAUUAUGUGGGGCAGAGGUCAUGCUUAUAUUUUUCCAGAAGGGGAUUUUCGUCCUAUCUGGGUGCCUGAAUGCGCAAUCAGACAUGGAAGAGAUAGAACCGAGAUUCAAGCAACUGAAAAUCGACCCAGAGAAGCCUCCACUCAAAAGGAAGAGAUAUCAAAGAAGGAUGAAGAGGAACCCACAUGUCCCAGCUGAAAAUCUGAUCUCAUGGGAAGACGUGAAGAAGCUGACAACACACACUUCGCGAAUAAUUUGACUCCUAGGAAGGAAUAAGACCCCAUUGAUGAUGGUAGCUACAGUGAUUGUCCUGGAGGGCUGUCAGGUAAAAGGGAGUCAAGCAGACACUUACUGGACAUAUUUCCCAGAUCCACCCCUGGUACAUCCAGCUGUGUGGACUGGAGAAUCUAUUCCAGUGUUUACUAAUGACUCAUUCAUGAUGGAAGGAUUUACAGAUACUCCUAUUACUCCCAGUCAUGUGACUAGAUUUAAUUAUUCUGGCUACAGUGACCAAUUACCUUUGUGUUGGUCUCACAAUAAACAUGCUGGCUGUCUGAGUAUCAUUUGAGGAAAAGACAGCGGUUGGGAGACCUAGACUGACUAAUUAUUCUAUUUAUGGAGACUUAAAACCUUAUACUAGAUCAGUGAUUAAAAUGGGACUUUCCCAUAACAAACCAGUCAUUUCUGCAAAACCUCCACAAAUACCUCACUGUCCAAAUAGUUCUACGAUUGAGAUUGGCACCUUUCCUAGAUGGAUAGAUUGUGUAAAUACCCUUCCAGUACAACAUAAGGUGUCUAAAGAUAGUGGGUAUAUUUUAGACUGGUCUCCAAAAAUUGAUAAAGACAAUUAUUAAAAAAUUCUGCUAUGACACCUGCAGGAUUUGUUAGUAAAAUUUUGACUUACAGUGAGGGAGGUAUUCAAAAAGAUGUUUGGCACUUAAUUCCUGCCUCAGAAUUCUUACAUUUUACAGACAAACCUUUACCAAAAUUUGUUGGCAAGAGCUGUAAGGAGGGAUCUUGCUAUGGCUUAUGAGCCUGUGUCCGAUCUCCUUACGUUUUGAUUAUUGGAAAUGUAAAAGUUAAAUGGAUAGAUGACAGGUAUGUUGUCACAUGUAACAGAUGUAACCUAACCAAUUGUAUUACUAAGUAUAAUAGAGGAAAAGGAGUGCUGAUACUUCAUCAGCCCUCUUUUGUUUUAUUGCCUGCUAAUAUUUCAGAGCCAUGGUAUGCUGAUGCUGGUUUCCAAGUCUUACAGCAAAUUCAUACCCAGCUAGUGAUACCUAGACGUGCCAUUGGAAUUAUAAUUGUGGGAGUUAUGGCCUUGGUUUCUUUCAUUGCAUCCACUGUCACAGCCUCAAUAACUUUGUCUCAAGAUAUUCAACAUGCAAAAUUUAUUUAUUUUUAAUUUUUUAAAAAUAUUUAUUUUUUAGUUAUAGUUGGACCAAUACCUUUAUUUUAUUUUAUUUAUUUUUUUAUGUGGUGCUGAGGAUUGAACCCAGGGCCUUGCACGUGCUAGGCGAGCACUAUACAGCUGAGCCACAGCCCAGCCCCGUAAAAUUUCUUAACAAUUUAGCCCAAAAUACUUCCAAGGCUCUGUGCAAUCAAGUAAAUAUUGAUGAGAGGAUUGAGACUAAGUUAAACUCCUUAGAGGCGACUGUUAUAAAUAUAGGUAAUGAACUUUCAGCUUUAAAGUUUAAAGAAAGGCUUAAAUGCCACACAAGUUAUAAAUAUGUGUGUGUUAUAGCUGCCAAGUACAAUGCUUCUCUCUGGGAUUGGGAGAAGGUUAAGAACCAUUUGUUGGGUAUUUGGCAAAAUAAUAAUAAUAGCUUGAAUCUUUUGGAACUCCAUCAUCAUAUCCAAGAUAUUCAAAAUAAUAGAGCUGAUUUUUUGGAUCCUUCUUCUUUGGCUAAUCAAAUAUUGAAGAAAUUAAAUGGAUUUAACCCUGAAAAUAUUCUUAAACACUCGGCCUGGUACAUUAUUGGAUUGUUCUCUUUGCUGUUAAUUUUUUUUGUGUGUUGUAAUUAUAGGAUGGCGAGUCUUCAGAGCGAGAGAGUGCAGAGGCUCGAGAGAGUAAAUCAUUGCCUGCUUUUUAAAAGAAAAAAGGGGGAAUAUGUGGGAGGCCAUCCUCGCACGUGAUUUGAGUUACCUCUUUGGCUGGGUGAGAGGUCCUUAGACACAGCUGUGUUAGAGCUUUCCCCACCCUUUUCCAUGUCCAAGGGCUUGUCCGUGUAGAGGCGUGCCUGGCCACUGCCCUGAAGACCCAAUUGUCGCCCCUGACCUUGGGAUGCUGCCCCCCUUAACCUUCAUUGGAUGGGAUUUUCCCUUGAAUUUUUUGUUCCCCAAUAAAAGCCCACUCCCUGGCGUGUUCUCCCUCUUUCGAUAGCCUCUUCUGUAAACCUUGCCACCGCAUUAGGUGGCUGGAGGCGGGAGCUAGGAGAAGCUGUCCUGGAGUGGUAUUAAAGGUAAUAAGAGUCUUGUCUCUUUAAUUAAAAACUCCCUAGCAUUUACUCAUGAAUCAAACCUUCUUUCAUGAAGCCAGCACUGGUCGCGUGGCAGACACCUAAAUUAAUGUAUUUUUCUGAUCAGUCUUAUCUAACUGUAGAGAUUUUUACACUCUUUGUUCAGAGACCAGUUUUUCAACAGUUGACUCUCAAAUAUAUUAGAAAAUUUCUUCUUACAAAAUCCUAAGGAGAGGGGCUGGAGUUGUGGCUCAGUGGUUGAGUGCUCAUCUAGCAUGAGCAAAGUCCUGGGUUCGAUCCUCAGCAUCACAUAAAAAUAAGAUAGCGGUAUUGUGUCCAACUACAACUAAAAUAUUUUUAAAAAAAUUCCUAAGGAGGACAUACACAUUAUGAUGUUGGGAUUAAGUCUGGUAGUCAUCAAGGAUAUAUAGCUGGAUACCUGAACCUUUUUUUUUAAUAUUUAUUUUUUAGGUGUAGAUGGACACACUACAAUGCCUUUAUUUUUAUGUGGUACUCAGGAUCGAACCCAGGUCCCGCCCAUGCUAGGCAAGCGCUCUACCGCUGAGCCACAAUCCCAGCACCUCUGAACCUUUGAUUUCAGUGUCCAUACCAAGGGGUAUGGACAGCUCUACAGUAUCUAUCAGACUUUACACCUGACAGUUCCACUGUACAGACCUACCAUAUAUUUAAGUCAUAAUGUAAAAGUCUGAAAGGCUCUAUUUUAAUUUUUUUUAAGAGAGAGAAGUUUUUUAAUAUUUAUUUUUUAGUUUUUUGGUGGACACAACAUCUUUAUUUUAUUUUUACGUAGUGCUGAGGUGCCUCAGUCUGGCUGGGCACAAAUCACGAGCCACUCAAGCAGGAACAAACUUUAUUUCCGAACUCCCCCGAAUGCCACCCACGUGGUCCUUCCAGCGACCACACACCAACCGGAACUCCCCAACCAGAACUCCCUCCACCGGAACUCCACCAACCAACGCGAAUCUUCAGGAAUCCCCACGAGAGCUCAACCGGAACUCAACAGAAACUCCGAGAGAACCCAAAAAUCAUCAUCUUAAUGGCUUGCUGGUGUCACCUCUCAACCACUACUUCUGGCAAAAUGCCAGGGGCCAUUCCAAAUCGGCUGUGGCUCUCAACACUGAGGAUCAAACCCAGCGCCCCACACAUGCCAGGCAAGCGAGUUACCACUUGAGCCACAUUCCCAGCCCUCUAUUUUAAUUUUUAAUGGGUUAAAUCUAACAGAGGCUUUAAUAAACAUCUGUAACAUUGCCUCCUAUCUAUGGAGCUCCACUUAACAAAGAGUUAUAAAACAGACUUAUGUAUGAGUGCACACCUGUGUAUUGUAUUGUUUCUACAUACCUGCUUGUGUCCAUAUAUUAUGUUUGUGGUAUCAAAAUCAACAUAUAAAUAAAUGAGCACUCAUAAAUUAAAUUUCAA